rnacentral:rRNA from 1 species
AACGAACGCUGGCGGCAUGCCUAACACAUGCAAGUCGAACGAGACCUUCGGGUCUAGUGGCGCACGGGUGUGUAACGCGUGGGAACCUGCCCUUAGGUUCGGAAUAACUCCCCGAAAGGGGUGCUAAUACCGGAUAAUGUCUUCGGACCAAAGAUUUAUCGCCUUUGGAUGGGCCCGCGUUGGAUUAGCUAGUUGGUAGGGUAAAAGCCCACCAAGGCGACGAUCCAUAGCUGGUCUGAGAGGAUGAUCAGCCACACUGGGACUGGGACACGGCCCGGACUCCUACGGGAGGCGGCAGAGGGGAAUAUUGGAAAAUGGGCGGAGGCCUGAUCCAGCAAUGCCGCGUAAGUGAUGAAGGCCUUAGGGUUGUAAAGCUCUUUUACCCGGGAUGAUAAUGACGGUACCGGGAGAAUAAGCUCCGGCUAACUCCGUG